AACCAGCACCUCAAGUGGUCAGGAGGAUUAUUGGGCCUAAAGCAUCCGUAGCCUGUUCUAUAAGUUUGCGGUUAAAUCUAUACGCUCAACGUAUAGGCUGCCGUAAAUACUGUAGAACUAGGGAGUGGGAGAGGUAGACGGUACUCGGUAGGAAGGGGUAAAAUCCUUUGAUCUAUCGAUGACCACCUGUGGCGAAGGCGGCCUCCUGGAUCUGUACUGACACUGAGGUGCGAAAGCGUGGGUAGCGAACAGG
rnacentral:rRNA from 1 species